GGGGGGGCGAGCGCGCGCACGUGUUUGCAUCUGCUGCCGAUUUGCAGGCCAUUCUCACAGCGUGUCAGGCCGACUCGAAACAACUUCGACGACCGAAUACACGCAUGACUGUCACUGAUAAGGACGAAAACACUGACACCUCAAGCAACGGACAGGAGUCGGACCUGGCAAGCAAAUCGGAUGCACCUUUGCCAGCAUCGUCGCCAUCAUUGUCGACUGUAUCAUCUGCAUUAACAUCCAUACAGUCGUCAUCAUCCGCGCCCUCUACUUGACUGGCGAGGCCCCUUCACAAUGCGCCGGGUGCUUGGAGUGGCUUGAGGGCGGGCUUUCUCAAUGUGAACUCGCUCAGGGCUCGCAUUGGGAUCGUUCGCGAUUUUCUAGCAGAGCGCCCCUCAUAUGAUAUCUUUGGUUUCGCGGAGACAUGGCUGGGUCAGAUUGUGGAUGACAGCCUGGUUAACAUCGGGGGAUAUUCCAUCAUUAGGCAGGACCGAAAUUUAAACGGGGGUGGCGUCGCCUUAUUUGUACGCAGUGGUUUAAAAAUUAAAAAACUUGUUUCUUCCGACACUAUGGGUCUAGGAAAACCUGGAAUCCCAGAGUAUCUUUUUUGCAGCGUACAAAGGGGCGACUCACCUCCGGUGCUUCUCGGCGUCAUUUACAGGCCCCCGAAAAUUCCGAUGCAAAAGGACUCAGACCUGUUUGACUUAUGCGGCGAAUUUAGUCAUAAGAUCAUAAUGGGUGAUCUGAACUCAGACCUACUGUCUGACUCAGACGACGCUGCUACUAUGAAGCGUCUGUCUGAAGAGUUAUCUCUUCAGAUCAUCCGGCAUGGUCCCACGCAUCAUCAUACCUCAUCAGUGUGCCCAGGUGUGGCGAUUUAUCGCCAAUUUGGCGAUUUUUGGUAAGUGCUGGCGAUUUUUUUAUCUUGACUGGCGACUGGCGAUUAAGUGGCGAUUCGCUUACUUGCCCAGCGAUUUUUUUGGCGAUUUACGAAACUUUCCAUAAAUAUAAGUUUUUUUUUAAAUAAAAAAUUUGAACUUCGCGCUCAAUUCCAACCGUUCUAAAUAAACGACAACGCGAACAUAGCUGUUCUGCCUCUCUCUCUCUCUCUCUCUCUCUCUCUCUCUCUCUUUCUGCACUAACUUCAAGCAGUAACGCAGCUAUUUCGGUUGUCUUACCGCGUAUGAAACUCUGAAGUAUUGUACCUCACUUAGGACCACCAGUAGGUAACAUGCUAGCCUAUGAAAUACACGUAUAUGCCAUAACGCCACGGGACAAAAAGCUUGACUACUUUUUCCGCGAACUUUUGACUCUUCCCAAAUAUUCGAUCUUUCGUCAUCGCCACUCGAUUCCUGUUAGCAGCAGUGCACUGUGUUCUGUGUUCACCAUUUCACUUUUAACAAAUUCAUCAUUCAUUACAUUGCAAUAACAAAUAAGAAUUAUUAUAACCUUGAAAAUAACAUCAUACAGGAUAUACAAGCAUAAUAGUAAUAGAUUAUCAAAUGAAUACUAUCGUUUUAAUAACCGAGGGUCUACACUAUUUAGAUGAAGAAGAAUGUUUAUUAAUACGCUUGAAAGAUAGAUUAGUAUUCGAAAGCAUCUCGGAUCAAGAGAAGAGUUCAAGAUCGUUUAAAGUAAACGAGUUGCGUGAUAUUGAAUUUAUUGUAAAAGCCAGCAAAACACCAUUAGAUAACCUAGUAAUUUGGUGCAAAAACAGGUUAAGUCAAAAGGAUAAAACAGAGGAGCUAGAGUUAAAGUUACGCCAAACUCUCAUUAAAUUAAUAAAUAACUUAUCACUAAUUGAAAACCUACUACAAAUUAUAUUUGAUCGUACGUUGGACCUGGAUACCUCUGAUCUAAGUAUAGCAGAUACAGUGCUUAUUUCUAACAGCGAUACGGAUAGCGAUUAAGAAAAUUUUGAAUUUAGUACAUUAAUAAAAAUGAAUAAAAGCACUAAAGAGAAGAAGAAAAGCAUUUACAACUAUAAUGUGAAUUGGGAAAAGGAAUCCUGGGCCCAGGGUAAGUUGCUUAUCU
rnacentral:lncRNA from 1 species